UACGUAGGGAGCGAGCGUUGUCCGGAAUUACUGGGCGUAAAGGGCGCGUAGGCGGGAACUUAAGUUAGAUGUGAAAACUCCGGGCUUAACCUGGAGACUGCAUUUAAAACUGGGUUUCUUGAGGGCAGGAGAGGAAAGUGGAAUUCCUAGUGGAGCGGUGAAAUGCGUAGAUAUUAGGAGGAACACCAGUGGCGAAGGCGACUUUCUGGACUGUACCUGACGCUGAGGCGCGAAAGCAUGGGGAGCGAACAGG
rnacentral:rRNA from 1 species